CUUUACUCUGCAUUUCAAUUGUGUAUGUUGUGCAAUACAGGGCACCACUUUUCUUAUUCUUCCUGUUCGCACUGUGAGGUGAUAUGUUUCCAGGAAAACACGAUGGCUUUAUAUAGUAGAAAUCUUUCCUGGCAAAUGUGACUGCAAAUAAAGAAUGGCUGCCCCAUGGAGCAGGGAGCCAUCACCCACUCUGUCACACAGGGCGCUAUCUGACC